UACUUGGCGGUAAAAGAAAUUACUUGGCGGUUCCCUAAAAAAACAAAUCCUUGAAGGUAAAUAUAUUUGGGAACAAUUAUCAGCAGUAUUAGAAAUUACCUAUUUCCAAAAGGAAAAAUAUUAGAAAAGCCGUAAUUCUUCAAACCCAUCGUUCCUCUAUGAUUCUAUCAGAAUUUCAAUGUCAUCAAUUUCGCCGGCAAGGUAAUAUUUUGACAGCCCUUUACUUUUCUUAUUUCUGCAAUUUUAAUUUAAAAUCUGAUAUAUAUUUUCAGUUCAAUUUGUUUACAUUGCUUAUCUUCUUCCGUUCGACUAUCAGUUUCGAUAUAAAUUCCAGGGCAUCGGUGACGCAAGGCUUUUACUCUUCUUAGUCCUACAAUUUUUUAUUGAAAAUCUAAUAUUUGUAAUUUAAAUAUGUCAAUAUUAUCGAUUGCUCUUCCUUUCUACAGCCAUCAAAUUUGUCGCAAUCCUAUGGCGCGUGUGAGGUUGGAAUUCGUAUUGGUGUUACUGUAUUUGAUCAAGGAACAAUCGUAGCCAAAGAAUGUCUUGGUAGCUUCAAUCCAACUGCAGAAGUUGGGAGGCAAGUGUUGGGAUUUGUAUAAGUGAAUGACUGUCAAGUAAAUGUGAAAGCAGUACUACUAAAUACGAAGAGAAACUGCUUGAUCUUACUAAUAUUGUCAGACACUUGGAGACUCUGUGAAAUGGUUGCUUGGCCUUGUA